AUUCUCUUGGCAUAUACACGCACACAAGCACUAUAUUAAACCUUGAACCAUUUACAUAUAUUUCAUCGAAAUGUGAAGUAAAUUCGGCAAAACGACUUGUUUCGCCUCGAGUAAUUUAAAACCAUAAUAGGAAGUUUCCUGUUCACACAAACAUAAGAUAAUCUAAAUGCCCUGUAACGAUGCGGGUAAGA